CAAUAGGAACGCCUCAGAUCGGUUCUGAUGAGAGCGGACCAAUGAUCAAAGACAUUCCAAACAUGAUCAUUGUGUUCUUUUUGGGGUAAUCUAGGAUUACAUUAAAUAAUGUAUUCUUCCUUAAUUAAAAUAGUCGAGUGUGAUUUGAGGAAUAUUUGGCUGCUUUUUCGGGUAAAGAUUUCCUUGUUGGUCUGUCUUUCCAGCUGGCGCCUUGCGGAGGUACAUUAUUAGUGCUGCUGCUGCUCACAACGUUGAAUAAUGAUAAUUUCUAAACACGAACUGCUUUACGGCAGAAAUCGUAAGUAAACAUCAACUUGGAAUGUGUUCCUUUUUAAUGACACGUCCUCUACAUCGCUGUCCGAUUCCUUAUCAGAAAUUACUGGUCUUCAUUAUUCCUAUAAAACCAAGAAAACUAAAUUUGUUUCAUCACCGGGGAAAAAAUAUAUUUGCAAAGACAAUAAUAAAACGUCACGCCCAAUUAUUUUUAGUUGGGAUAUUGUGUGGCUGUUAAUUUUCGUGAAUUCAUUUUUACCUAUUUGAUGGAAAUUUCAGACUAAAGGAUUCCAGUUUGCUAUGAGUAUUUGUUAAACCAUUCCCACAUGCUGUGAAAGGUGUAUCAGACAGCAGCAGCUCUAUUUCUCCAUCUUUUAAUGCUUGAAUAAUGGAGUUAGGAGUCAGUGGUGAUGAUGAAGGCUUUGCUGAGGGAGACAGCCAGGUAGACGCACAGAUGGAGUGUUCUCCUGUUGUUGAUUUGGAAGGU